rnacentral:rRNA from 1 species
UACGAGGGGUGCAAGCGUUAUUCGGAAUCACUGGGCGUAAAGAACGCGUAGGCGGCUUGUUAAGUUGGUUGUUAAAUUCUUUGGCCUAACCAAAGGUUCGCGGCCAAAACUGGCGAGCUAGAGAUCAUGAGAGAGAAGUGGAAUUCUUGGAGUAGCGGUCAAAUGCGUAGAUCUCAAGAGGAACACCAAUAGCGAAGGCAGCUUCUUGGCAUGAUUCUGACGCUGAGGCGUGAAAGCGUGGGGAGCAAACAGG